GCAUUUCACAUGCAUUUCGAAUUUGAUGGAAGAUUGAAUUAUUUGAUGACAUAAGCCUUUUUGGAUCACCUCCUGUGAAUUGUCGCAGGAAAUGGUCGAAUUGGCCACAGCAAUCAGGGAAACAUGUACCUCUUUCCAGGGUUAGCGUUAAUUUAUGUGUUUAUAUUCUGAAGGUUAGCCUUCCUGGGGAUGAACCGACUAUCUAUCUGAUUAUGCACGAUUGUGCUAGAAAAGAGGGGAAGUUCUUUAGUUGUGAGAGCUGAGGAAACAGUGACCUCUGCAUCCAACAUUCGAUCUUCACUGCGGAUUUGGUAAGAUUUUCACUAUUAUUUUAAUUUUAAGCAGGUGUUUCUCAUCAUAAAUUUUUUAUCUUUUAAAUAUUCUAACUCAUACAGUUUGUGAUCCGAAUAUGGUUUAAGGCCAUCUAAAAUGAUGAAUUCAAUGAUUUGAUGCGUUAUUUGUCACUCAGAAAUUUAAAUUUCAGAUUCCAUGCUUUUCCCUUGACCAGAUUUCAGCGUUCUAUAGCUUUAUAAGUCUAUUCUUUUGUUGCAUAGGUGAUGCUAAUUAGGGGAUUUUCUCAUUAUCAAAAUUUGUUUAUUGAGAAGCUCUUGUAGUUAAGUUUGUAAUUCAUCAAACUAACUCAGAUAUGGUGAUUUCCUUACUCUUGAAGGUCGUCUCAUUUCAAGCUUAGCAACCAAUGGCCAUUAUUUAGAUUUUUGCGUAGUGUUUUCUUAUGUUCAGUACCCAUUGUUGGAUAUUUCCUUUAAUCCACCCAAUAUGAAUAUCCCUACAGGUGUUGUGAUGGCUUGGAAUUUUUUUUUUCUUUUUUUUGUAAUGAUAUUCAACAAUCUUACCAUGCCAUUUGAAAUUCAGAUUUUUAAUGUUCUUGUGAUUGCUUCACAUCUUAGACGUAUGAGGUUUGAAAAAGUUAAUUCUAAUGCUUUUUUGUAAAAAGGUAAUGUAGAGAUAGAUUAUUGUCACAUAUUCUCUUUAACUUAGUAGUUAAAUAGGGGAAUGAACAAGAUAAACAAUAGCAUUUAUUAAUUAUGGAUAGACUUGGAACUAAUUUUGUUGGCGUACCUCUCCCUCUCUCUCUAUUUGCAUUGGAGUGCAUUUAUUUAAACUAAUUUUUUUUGCUCUUUUUUUCCCUACAGAUAUUUUGAUAAUAGGGCAAAGGGGAUGAAUUAUUGCUUUGAUAAUAGGGCAUAAAUUUGCACCAACAUCAAUUUGAUAUUCUGUUCAGAGAUAGAUCUCUUUGCGAUCGUAAAAAAAUAAUCAUGAGUUACCCUCUCUCUCACUUUCUCCUUCUCCUUCUUGAAUCUAGAUAAUUUAGUACACAGAUUGCCAGUCUCAGAGUCUUACAACAGCAUUCAACACUCCCAUCACUAGCGCUCCUCUCUUGCAUCCCUCUUCAUGUUUGAUCAUUAAGGGUAACGUAAAAAGGAGUUGAGGCAUGAAGGCUCAAGAACAUAUCCUGUUUAGGUCAUUGAACAAAGAGAAAACCCUCUGUGAUAAGGAGUAGCUCCAUAUCCCAAUCAUGUGAUGUUUCAAAGUUACGUUUUAUAACAUUGAUGCUCAAUACAAUGAUUUUUUUUUUCUCGUUCUUUUUCUCAUGUGAAGUUGUAGCCGAAAAUUGGUUUUAUUACAGAAAGAUUAAAAAAUACUAUGGGUAAGAUUUGUACCUUCCACCUUA